rnacentral:rRNA from 1 species
CAGUCGCCACGGUAAUACGAAGGGUGCAAGCGUUAAUCGGAAUUACUGGGCGUAAAGCGUGCGUAGGCGGUUUGUUAAGUCUGUUGUGAAAUCCCCGGGCUCAACCUGGGAAUGGCAAUGGAUACUGGCAAGCUAGAGUGUGUCAGAGGAUGGUGGAAUUCCCGGUGUAGCGGUGAAAUGCGUAGAGAUCGGGAGGAACAUCAGUGGCGAAGGCGGCCAUCUGGGACAACACUGACGCUGAGGCACGAAAGCGUGGGGAGCAAACAGGAUUAGAUACCCCAGUAGUCUGUCUCUUAUACAA